UGUAAAGUCACGAGUCCGAGGCUCCGAGCAAGUCACGCGACUCAAUCCCUCCCCACUUUUAAAAGCCGCCCUUGCUGUUAAUAGGUUUCCAACUCAAAGUCCAAACCUCAAAGGGGAGGGGGAGAGAGAGAGAGAGAGAGAGAGAGAGAGAAAAUGUUGUCAAAGCUGCAAAGGAGAGUGGCAUUGCGAAGGAAGUUUAAGUUACUACGGUCGUUUACCCACUCCAAAUCGGUGAGGAAGAGCUCCAUUAUCGUGGAUGCUAUUGAUUACAUUAAACAACUGAUGAACAAGUUGGAGGCCUUGAACCUUCAAUAUGCUAAACUCAUCCACCAUCCAAUUCAAAUCUCCACGGUCUCUCUCUCUCUCUCUCUCUCUCUCUCUCUCUCUCGUAUGUGAGUAGCCCGAUUCGAUGUGGAGGGAUAUAAAGAUUUGGGCUCUCUCUCUUAAAGGGAAACUUUUAAAGAUGAGUUCUACCCAAGUUCCAACAACAGAUACCAAUCUCCCUCUCCACAUGGGAUAAGAGGUGAAAGUAGAGAAGAUUGAGAUGGGGUUCCUAGUACUGGUGACUUGUGAAGAAGGGCAAGAUUUGCUGGUUUCAGUCAUAGAGGCACUGGAGGUAACAGGGCUUAAUGUAGUCCAUGCGAAGGUUUCAUGUAACCAAUCUUUUUGCAUGGAAGCCAUUGUUGAAGCUCAAGAUCAGACUAUGGAUGCUCAGGAGGUCAAUCAAGCGGUCUUUGAGGCUAUUGCUAAGCAUGUUAAUGGUAAAGAUAAUAUAGAUAAUUAAGGCCAAGGUUUGUAAGAAUUUACUUGCAGAUUUAAUCAAUUGCACAACUGAAGCGUAAUGUUUAUA